GCUGGGAUAGCUCAGUUGGUAGAGCAGCUGACUUGUAAUCAGCAGGUCGAGAGUUCAAGUCUCUUUCCCAGCU
rnacentral:tRNA from 1 species